rnacentral:rRNA from 2 species
UAGUGGGGGAUAUCCUGGGGAAACCCAGGCUAAUACCGCAUACGUCCUACGGGAGAAAGGGGGCUCCGGCUCCCGCUAUGGGAUGAGCCUAUGUCGGAUUAGCUAGUUGGUGAGGUAAUGGCUCACCAAGGCAACGAUCCGUAGCUGGUCUGAGAGGAUGAUCAGCCACAUCGGGACUGAGACACGGCCCGAACUCCUACGGGAGGCAGCAGUGGGGAAUAUUGGACAAUGGGCGAAAGCCUGAUCCAGCCAUGCCGCGUGUGUGAAGAAGGCCCUCGGGUUGUAAAGCACUUUCAGCGAGGAAGAACGCCUAGCGGUUAAUACCCGCUAGGAAAGACAUCACUCGCAGAAGAAGCACCGGCUAACUCCGUGCCAGCAGCCGCGGUAAUACGGAGGGUGCAAGCGUUAAUCGGAAUUACUGGGCGUAAAGCGCGCGUAGGUGGCUUGAUAAGCCGGUUGUGAAAGCCCCGGGCUCAACCUGGGAACGGCAUCCGGAACUGUCAAGCUAGAGUGCAGGAGAGGAAAGGUAGAAUUCCCGGUGUAGCGGUGAAAUGCGUAGAGAUCGGGAGGAAUACCAGUG